rnacentral:tRNA from 1 species
GCAUUAAUGGGGUAGUGGUAACCUGGGUCGUUGCCAUUGAUAUGUGACAUUGUGUCGACCCGCCGGGGGUUCGAUUCCCUCUUAAUGCA